rnacentral:rRNA from 1 species
AAUCACACAUUUUUUCCAUGCCCCCUCCUCUAACCCCUGGGUGGAAAGGAAAAAUUUUUUACCAGGGCCUCCAUUAAGGGGGGGAAGUAAAAGUUUUAACAAGGUCUCCGUUGGUGAACCAGCGGAGGGAUCAUUACCAGAGUGCCCUAGGCUCUCCAACCCAUUGUGAACAUACCUAUCGUUCCCUCGGCGGGCUCAGCGCGCGGUGCCUCCGGGCUCCGGGCGUCCGCCGGGGACAACCAAACCCUGAUUUUAUCGUGUAUUUUUGAGGGGCGAAAGCCCGAAAACAAAAUAAAUCAAAACUUUCAACAACGGAUCUCUUGGCUCUGGCAUCGAUGAAGAACGCAGGGAAAUGCGAUAAGUAAUGUGAAUUGCAGAAUUCAGUGAAUCAUCGAAUCUUCGAACGCACAUUGCGCCCGCCGGCAUUCCGGCGGGCAUGCCUGUCCGAGCGUCAUUUCAACCCUCAGGGCCCCCUUUCGGGGGGGACCUGGUGCUGGGGAUCAGCGGCCCUCGGGCCCCUGUCCCCCAAAUACAGUGGCGGUCGCGCCGCGGCCUCCCGAAGUAAAAGCAGUCCUAGGGCAUAUCAAUAAGUGGAGGAAUGGAAUUAAAAGUCGACCAAGCCAUAUCACAAGCGGUGGACUAUUAUACCCU